GUGUUAAGUGGCUUUAUCGCACAAAACUCUUUGUCGAGUUAUCAUCUUCGGAUCGUUUUUAUUCUGUUAAACGCUCUGGCAUUUGAAGGGUAUGGGAAAACAGCGUGGAAGUUGGUUUGCGCAUGGACUAAGUAAGAAACGGCCAUUCCAUCGAGACGAGAGGAAAAUUGUCAACCUCAUACUGUUCAUGAUAUUUAUAGCAGGAUUUGUGUUCCUUAUUUCUGCGCUACUUUUGCUGGGAUUUGGACCUAAUCACGCUUUCUACUGCUUCAUGGGAAUAUUUCUAAUUUUUGAAAGCAUUUUUAUGUCCAUGAGUUGCUACUUACGUUACUCUGACCGUUCUUCUGCUUCACAUUCUAACGCAGAGGAACCAAUCAUUGAAGCAGGCAAAAAUGAGCAAUCUAAGUUAUCUACAGACAGUUAUGGCUCCACAAGUUUUCUUAAAGGGAGCAUCACUCAUGUAAAAGCAGAUAUUGAAGAGGGUUGAAGUAGUUAUGAAAGGACCUUUCCAAUUAUUUCUGAUGGCUGCUUAACAUAUCAAAAGCACUGGCGAAAAAAACCUGCCCAUGAUGAUGUUUGUGAAGAAAGGAAGCAACGAGUAAAAAAGCAUAGCGUGCUCAUUUAAGAAAAUACUGUCAUCCUAUUGCUAUUUGUAGCUUAAUGUACGUAUGUUUGCCGAGAAGCCUGCGGGACGGUGUCCCCAAAACUAAUAUGUAUGUAGCUGUUACUUCUCAAAAUUAUUUUAUAAAUUAGCUUAUAGUAUGCAUUAGCAGACCAAAAUAUUUUCGCUGCUAUCAAUACAAAAAAAAUUUCAAAAUUUCAAAAAUAAUUAAAGCAAUUUGGGAAAAUAAUCUUUUGGUUCAGUGUUCUUUAUCCAUCUCCACUUUUAUUGAUUUAAGUUUUAAUGCAAAAAGUUACUGAAUGAUGAUGAUAAUCGAAAAUAUUUAAAGAUGAUAUUACUGAUAUGCAUCUUUUUGAAACGCAAUCAAAGAGAGACGCACUAUAAAAUAUUAUUGUGUAAAGAGAAAAGUAAACUGUAAAUAUUACACGUAUGAACUUCAUUACAUACCUCAAUAACUUGAGCACUUGUCUUAAUUCAUUUGCAAUGUGAAAAACACGCAUUUGUAAUUUAUAUCAUGCUCUAUUUUAAUUUGAUAGUCAGUAAUUAUUUCUAAAUGUAUCAAGUAGAAGAAGACGUACAACGCUUCACGUCUUGCUUUAUCAACAAAAAAAC